AAGAAAAAUUGGUCUCGAUCGUAAAGGGAUAGGUCUCAUUUUCUAUACGGUGUUUUACCUCAUUAAUCAUGAAAAUAAAGAUAUUAAAUUUCACUGGACUUGACACUUGAUUUUUUUUCUGAGAAAGAAAAUGAAUGCUUCGAAAUACAUCUAAUCCACGAGUUCAUAAGAGAUAAUUAUUCUCUUUAAUAAACUUUUUUUGUGUCGUGCAGAGCACAAUACGAUUCUAUCUUUCGCUUCAUCAGAAAAAAUCUGGGACGGAAGGAUUCGAACCUCCGAGUAACGGGACCAAAACCCGCUGCCUUACCACUUGGCCAUGCCCCAUUUCAUUUUAUCCGACACUAAUAAACAGUAUUAUUUUUAUAUAUUAUUUGUCAAUCCCACUUCAAUUACCUAAAAAAUGAGGGAUAUUUUCUUGCUAGGAUUCUAGACAUGCGGAUAAUAUAGAAUCCAAAAAAUGCAUUGAUCAUUACAUGGAAUUCUAUUAAGAUAUUAUAUGAAAGUCAAAUUUCUUCCAUUCUCAUUUGAGAAGGAGAAUACAAGGAGGUAUUUUGUGUUUGGGAAAGUCCGAAGAAAAAAGGAUUUAGAAUCCACCCUUUCUUUUGCUUUUUUUCCCUUAGAAAAAUAACUCAAUCAAAAUCCAAUUAUCUACUCUACAAGAACGAAAUGCUUGGUAUGCCUAAUAUACUUAGUUUAACCUGUAUCUGUUUUAAUUCUGUUCUUUGUCUGACUAGCUUUUUCUUCGCCAAAUUACCCGAAGCUUAUGCCAUUUUCAACCCAAUCGUGGAUGUUAUGCCUAUCAUACCUAUACUCUUUUUUCUAUUAGCGUUUGUUUGGCAAGCCGCUGUAAGUUUACGAUGAAAUCUUUACUAUCUCUGUCUGCCAAUGUAUUCAUUCCAAAAAAAAUGGAUAAGAGCCAAGAAGUCUUAUAUUAUGAACCUUCGAUUCUAAAAUUGAAAUUCUUCUACAUUGAAUGUAUAGCUGCAGCAAUAAAUUUGGAUCCACCUUUCUAUCCCCUGCGGCUACGUUGAGCAGGUACCUUUAGUUACCCACACAAUACCUAAACAAAUUUUUGAUAUUGAUAAGAGUGCUUUUUAUAAAGCAAUUCUUGCAAUUUUUUUAAGAAUUUAUUUUUGCAUUUUUAGGUGUCAAAAUAAAAAAACCAUCCUAGUGGAUCUGUGUGGUAAAGAAAAAUGGGUAAUCUAUUCCUUAACAAAAAAAAUCUUGGAGACUAUGUAAUGCUUACUCUCAAAAUUUUUGUUUAUAUAGUAGUGAUAUUCUUUGUUUCCCUCUUUAUCUUUGGAUUCUUAUCUAAUGAACCAGGACGUAAACCUGGGCGUGAGGAGUAAAAAUCCAAAAUUUUUGGGAAUUUUUUCUUACAAAUUGGAUUUAUUUCGUACAUUUAUCUAUGAGAAAAUCCGGGGGUCAGAAUUCCUUACAAUUCGAAAGUUCCAAAUAAUCCAAAGGGGCGGAAAGAGAGGGAUUCGAACCCUCGGUACAAAAACAUUGUACAAUGGAUUAGCAAUCCGCCGCUUUAGUCCACUCAGCCAUCUCUCCCCGUUCGAAAUCGAAAGGUUUUCGUGAUAUGACAGAGGCAAGAAAUAACGAUUGCAAAAAUCCUUCCUUUUUCUUUCAUUUCAAAAGUGCAUAAAAAUUAUAUUGCCAAUUCCAUUUUAAUUAUAUUCUUUUUUCUUAUCUUAAUGUUAGUAAAAAAGAAGAAAAUUCUUGUUUUUUCUUUCCAAAAUUUGAUAUAGGCUGGGCUGAGAUGAGAGACAAUCAGAUAAAUUUUCUCUUCAGCGGGAAGUUCCAUAUAGGAUUUGUUAUAAUAAAACAAGUAGGUUAUAAAAAAAUCUUUUUUUCGAUUAUUUAUCCACAAAGCAAAAAAGGUUCUUAUGAAACCCACAGUAAAAUUAGAAAGAAAGAUAAUGUAAGUAGACCUGACCCCUUGAAUAAUGCCUCUAUCCGCUAUUCUGAUAUAUAAAUUUGAUGUGGAUGAAAUUGGUGUAUAAGCGGAUUUUUUGUAUUUCCUUAGACUUAGAUCGGGCAAGGCAAUAAUUUUUCGCUCUUUACGAUUUCAUAUUCUUGUUACUAUACGUUCUAUAGGAAUAAGAAGAAAUCGCAACUCUUUUCCAUUACACAUAAAAAGGGUUUCAAAAGUCAAUUUUUCUUUUCAAUAUCUUUCUUUUUUUCAGAAUCCUAUUUUUGUUCUUCCACCCAUGCAAUAGAGAGUGAAUGAGAAAAUAAGGGUUAUUUUUCCCUUAAAAGAUAGGCUUUGAAAUAGGAAUCAUGGAAUAAUGCUGAAUUCAAAUGUUUAUUUUUUUAUUUCUAUAGUAAAAGAAAAGAAAAAUAAAUUGAAUGAAAUUCGUGGAUUUACCACGACCUUGGUUGUGACCCCAUAGAUAAAAAUGCAAAAUUUCUAUCUUCGAGACCAUUGAAAAAGGGCAUUGAACGAGAAAGAAAUCGUCCACAGAUAAUCAAACUAUCGUAUGCAAUGGAAGUAAUAUGAGGUGCUCGGAAAUGGUUGAAGUAAUUGAAUAGGAGGAUCACUAUGACUAUAGCCCUUGGUAGAGUUACUAAAGAAGAAAAUGAUCUAUUUGAUAUUAUGGACGACUGGUUACGAAAGGACCGUUUCGUUUUUGUAGGAUGGUCCGGCCUAUUGCUCUUUCCUUGUGCUUAUUUCGCUUUAGGGGGUUGGUUUACAGGGACUACUUUUGUAACUUCUUGGUAUACCCAUGGAUUGGCUAGUUCCUAUUUGGAAGGUUGCAAUUUCUUAACCGCGGCGGUUUCCACUCAUGCCAAUAGUUUAGCACACUCUUUGUUGCUACUAUGGGGCCUGGAAGCACAGGGGGAUUUUACUCGUUGGUGUCAAUUAGGUGGUCUGUGGACUUUUGUCGCUCUCCAUGGGGCUUUUGCACUAAUAGGUUUCAUGUUACGUCAAUUUGAACUUGCUCGGUCUGUUCAAUUUGCGGCCUUAUAAUGCAAUUUCAUUCUCUGGUCCAAUCACAGUUUUUAUUUCCGUAUUCCUUAUUUAUCCAGUGGGACAAUCUGGUUGGUUCUUUGCGCCGAGUUUUGGCAUAGCAGCUAUAUUUCGAUUUAUCCUUUUCUUCCAAGGAUUUCAUAAUUGCACGUUGAACCCAUUUCAUAUGAUGGGAGUUGCCGGAGUAUUAGGCGCAGCUUUGCUAUGCGCUAUCCAUGGGGCUACCGUAGAAAACACUCUAUUUGAAGAUGGUGAUGGUGCAAAUACCUUCCACGCUUUUAACCCAACUCAAGCUGAAGAAACGUAUUCAAUGGUCACUGCUAACCGCUUUUGGUCCCAAAUCUUUGGUGUUGCUUUUUCCAAUAAACGUUGGUUACAUUUCUUUAUGCUAUGUGUACCCGUCACCGGUUUAUGGAUGAGUGCUAUUGGCGUAGUUGGCCUGGCUCUGAACCUACGUGCCUAUGACUUCGUUUCCUUGGAAAUCCGUGCAGCGGAAGAUCCUGAAUUUGAGAAUUUCUACACCAAAAAUAUUCUUUUAAACGAGGGUAUUCAUGCGUGGAUGGCAGCACAGGAUCAACCUCAUGAAAAUCUUAUAUUCCCUGAGGAGGUUCUACCACGUGGAAACGCUCUUUAAUGGAACUUUCGUUUUAGCUGGUCGUGACCAAGAAACCACCGGCUUUGCUUGGUGGGCUGGGAAUGCCAGACUUAUCAAUUUGUCCGGUAAACUACUUGGAGCUCAUGUAGCCCAUGCCGGAUUCUGGGCCGGAGCAAUGAACCUAUUUGAAGUGGGCCAUUUCGUACCAGAAAAGCCCAUGUAUGAACAAGGGUUGAUUUUACUUCCGCACUUAGCUACUCUGGGUUGGGGAGUAGGGCCGGGGGGGGAAGUUCUAGAUACUUUUCCUUACUUUGUAUCAGGAGUACUUCACCUAAUUUCCUUCGCAGUCUUAGGCUUCGGUGGCAUUUAUCACGCGCUUCUGGGACCCGAGACUCUUGAAGAAUCUUUUCCAUUCUUUGGUUAUGUAUGGAAAGAUAGAAAUAAAAUGACUACAAUUUUGGGUAUUCACUUAAUUUUGUUAGGUCUAGGUGCUUUUCUUCUAGUACUCAAUGCUCUUUAUUUUGGCGGCGUAUAUGAUACCUGGGCCCCCGGAUGAGGGGAUGUAAGAAAAAUUACUAAUUUGACCCUUAGCCCCGGUGUUAUAUUUGGUUACUUACUAAAAUCCCCUUUUGGGGGAGAAGGAUGGAUUGUUAGUGUGGAUGAUUUAGAAGAUAUAAUUGGGGGACAUGUAUGGUUGGGUUCCAUUUGUGUACUUGGCGGAAUUUGGCAUAUCUUAACCAAGCCCUUUGCAUGGGCUCACUAUGCAUUUGUAUGGUCUGGCGAAGCUUACUUGUCUUAUAGUUUAGGUGCUUUAUCUGAUUUUGGUUUUACCACUUGUUGUUUUGUCUGGUUCAAUAAUACCGCUUAUCCAAGUGAGUUUUACGGACCCACUGGGCCAGAAGCUUCUCAAGCUCAAGCAUUUACUUUUCUAGUUAGAGACCAGCGUCUUGGAGCUAAUGUAGGGUCUGCCCAAGGACCGACAGGUUUAGGUAAAUAUCUAAUGCGUUCCCCAACGGGAGAGGUCAUUUUUGGAGGGGAAACUAUGUGUUUUUGGGACCUUCGUGCUUCGUGGUUAGAACUUCUAAGGGGCCCCAACGGUUUGGACUUGAGUAGGUUGAAAAAAGACAUCCAACCUUGGCAAGAACGACAUUCGGUAGAAUAUAUGACCCAUGCUCCUUUAGGCUCUUUAAAUUCUGUGGGUGGCGUAGCUACCGAGAUCAAUGCAGUUAAUUAUGUCUCUCCUAGAAGUUGGUUAGCGACUUCCCAUUUUGUUCUAGGAUUCUUCUUUUUUGUGGGCCAUUUGUGGCAUGCAGGAAGAGCCCGAGCUGCUGCUGCAGGCUUUGAAAAGGGAAUUGAUCGUGAUUUGGAACCUGUUCUUUACAUGACCCCUCUUAACUAAGAUUUUUUUAUUUCUACCUGUUCCACUUUUUUUCUGUUCUGGCUCGGUUAUUCCAUCUAGCUGAGCCAUUCAUGCUUUUUUAUGAAAGAGUGAUAUAAGGGGGCAGAACAAAGAAAAACAUAGAAAGAAACAAAUGUAUUCAAUAAACAAAAGGAGAGAGAGGGAUUCGAACCCUCGAUAGUUCCUAGAACUAUACCGGUUUUCAAGACCGGGGCUAUCAACCACUCAGCCAUCUCUCCACAGCCAAAUCCCUAUUUUAUUCCUACAAAUAGAACAUAGCUAUAUGAAAUGAUCUACUAACUCCUAGAAACAUCUCAGAUGCAAGUCCACUUUCGAUAUAUCUCUGUAUACUGUAUACACGGAUACAGAAUCCGCUAUAUCCGUUUGUGAAAUAAACGCUAAAUCCCCUCAACUCUAUAUCCAAAUAAAAGCGGUAAGGAAAAAGUUUUAAAGAGAAGAAUCAAUGGAUUCAUGAUUAAACCCCUCCUACUUCUUGUAUUUUCGUACAAUUUUGAUUAAGUGAGGGAUCAAAUAGAAAUAUGUAGUCAACUUUAUUUGAAGGUAGUUUGGAGGAUUUGAAAUAUGACUAUUGCUUUCCAAUUAGCUGUUUUUGCAUUAAUUGCGACUUCCUCAAUCUUAGUAAUUAGUGUACCCCUUGUAUUUGCUUCUCCUGAUGGUUGGUCAAAUAAUAAAAAACGUUGUAUUUUCUGGUACAUCAUUAUGGAUUGGAUUAGUCUUUCUGGUAGCUAUUCUGAAUUCUCUCAUUUCUUGAAUUUGUUUAGUAUUUAGUAGCCCGAUAUAAAAUAAAUAAAAAAGGCCUUUUUUCGAAAAAAAUCUUUGAUACACAUUAAAAUGCUAUUUUCGUUCUGAAUUAUUAUAUUACUUCUUCUCCUUCAUUAUUAUGAAAUUCUAUUGCCAUUAGAAUAUUGAUUGACAGACAAUUAAUAAAAA